AUUCCCUUGAAUACUAGAAUAAAAGCACCAAUACCUAACAAGAUUAAGUGAAUACCUAAAAUUGUGGUCAUUUUAUUUCGACCAUCCCC
rnacentral:antisense_RNA from 1 species